GACGAACGCUGGCGGCGUGCUUAACACAUGCAAGUCGAACGGUAAGGCCCUUCGGGGUACACGAGUGGCGAACGGGUGAGUAACGCGUGGGUGAUCUGCCCUGCACUUCGGGAUAAGCCUGGGAAACUGGGUCUAAUACCGGAUAGGACCCUGGGAUGCAUGUCCUGGGGUGGAAAGCUUUUGCGGUGUGGGAUGGGCCCGCGGCCUAUCAGCUUGUUGGUGGGGUGAUGGCCUACCAAGGCGACGACGGGUAGCCGGCCUGAGAGGGUGACCGGCCACACUGGGACUGAGAUACGGCCCAGACUCCGACGGGAGGCAGCAGUGGGGAAUAUUGCACAAUGGGCGCAAGCCUGAUGCAGCGACGCCGCGUGAGGGAUGACGGCCUUCGGGUCGUAAACCUCUUUCAGCACCGACGAAGCGCAAGUGACGGUAGGUGCAGAAGAAGGACCGGCCAACUACGUGCCAGCCGCCGCCGUAA
rnacentral:rRNA from 1 species